UUUUUUUUUUUUUUUUUUGUCUUUUAAGGGCUGUGGCAGAUGGAGGUUCCCAGGCUAGGGGUUGAAUUGGGGCGGCAGCUGCUGGGCAAUGCCACAGCAAUUCGGGAUCCAAGCUGCAUCUGCGACCUACACCACAGCUCACGGCAGUGCCAGAUCCUUAACCCACUGAGCAAGGCCAGGGACUGAACCUGCAUCCUCAUGGAUGCUCGUUAACCACUGAGCCAUGAUGGGAACGCCUAUUGAGAAUUUUUGCAUCCGUAUUCAUCAGGGGUAUUGGUCUGUGAUAGUCUCUUCAGAUUUCUCUUUCUUUAUGGUUCAGUCAGUCUUGGAUGUAUACUUCUAGGAACACAUCCCUUUCUUUCAGGUCAUUCAGUUUGCUGGUGCGUGAGUGUUCAUAGGAAUCUCGCACGAACCUUUGUAUUUCUGCAAUAUCAUAAUGUCUCCUCUUUUAUUUCUGGUUGCGUUUGCUUUAGUUGUGAGUUAGUCUAGCUAAAGUGCUGUUAAUUCUGUUUAUCUUUUCAAAAGCCAGCUUUGGGUUGAUUAUUGUAAUCACUAAUCUGUGUUAAGACAAAAUAAUACAUAUUUGAAAUUGAAGUUACUUGUCAUGCGUUCGGUUCACCUUUCGCAGAGAGUCCCGUUUUUAGUCAUUUUGUGUCAUGAUAUCUGUUUUGUCUCUUCCAUCAGAUGAAUGGGAAGUGACCAUCCUAUUAAAAGGUGUGAUUUUGUUGUUGUUUAGACUUAGGAAGGAAAUUGUACAGUUUUCCUCCCCCCCCAUCCCAUUGACCACAUUUCCUUUAGUUGUUAAUUGUAAUACUUCACUUACACACUUACCGUAUUAGUGACCUCUUACUAAAGCACUGCCAGACAAACACAGGGUGGAGGGUCCCCCCAUCUCGCAUUCCUCUUGCUGUUCUCCUUUCCUCCCCAGAGGUGAUCCUUCUCACCGUUUGCGCGCCCUUUUGCAAUACUUUCCCGAUACCCGUGUAUUUUGUACAUGUACAUGCACAGGAAAACAGAUUCGUUAAACUAUCUAUUAAACUAAAAAAUUUAUUAAACUGUUUAUUUAAACCAAAUCUGAUCAUGUGAAGCCUAUACUUUUCAUUAAAUGAAUUCAAGCCGUGAUUUUUUUUCUUUAUGAAAAGGCUUCCUUGAAGGCUUUUUUUUUUUCUUUUACCCAAUGUCAAGCUGUCAUAACAAAACACCAUAGACUGGGUGGCUGAAACAGUAGGAAUUUAUUUUCUCACCAUCCUGUCACCUGGGUUCUGGGGAAGGCGCUCUUCCUGACAAGCCGCCUUCUUGUGUCUUCGCAUGGCUGGGAGGCGGAAAGAGCCCAUGCCCUGGGGGCACUAAGCCUGCCACUCACCCUUCACGAUGUCAUCAAAAUGUAAUUAUCUCCCAAAGUCCUCAUCAACGGAUGACAUCACAUCAGGGGUAAAGGCUUCAACAUAAGGACAUGAGAGAGACAAAUACUCAGCUUGUAACACCAAAAUAUGCCACUUCUUUCAAUUAGUCAUUUGAAUAAAGGUGCCAAGUUUUUUAAAUUACUAAACCUAAAGGGAAAAUAGGUAUUUAGGAAUUUGGGUAAUCUUAAAAAUCAGAGGACAAAGUUUGUGCCGAAACGAAGAAGGUAAAUGAAAUAGUAAACUUUUUUCCCUUUUGAAUUUAAGUUUUUAAACAAAAAGUUGUGUAAGUAUCGGUUGGGUAAGGCUUGAAUUUGACAGCAUUUAAUAUGAGAAGUACCUGAUGGUGUUUGUCAGCAGUGACUAACUCCGGUGAUGUGUGAAUGCAGUCUUCUGAGAAUAGAAACAGAAUGUCCUGCACUGGGAGUUUGGGGUUAGUAGAUGCAAACCGUUACAUUUAGGAUGGAUAAGCUGUGAGGUCCUACUGUAUAGCACAGGGAACUGUAUCCGGUCUCUUGAGAUAGAAUAUGAUGGAAGAUAAUAUGAGAAAAAGAAUGUAUGUAAGACUGGGUCCCUUUGCUGUACAGCAGAAAUUGGCAUAACAUUGUACCCCAACUGUACUUUAAGGAAAAAAAGAAAAGAGGAGUUCCCGUUGUGGCUUAGCACAUCGGAUACCCAGCAAGUAUCCAGGAGGAUACGGGUUUGAUCUCUGGCCCCACUCAGUGGGUUAAGGAUCUGGUGUUGCCGUGAGCUGUGGUGUAGGUUGCAGACAUGGCUUGGAUCUGGUGUUGCUGUGGCUGGGGCGUAGGCCGGCAGCUGCCGCUCUGAUUUGACUUCUAGCCUGGUACCUUCCAUAUGCUACAGAUGUGGCCCUAAAAAAAAAAGAAAAAGAAAUGUAAGUAAAAUAACCAGCAUGAGCAAUGAACAUUAAAAAAAAAAAGAAAAA
ensembl:lncRNA